rnacentral:tRNA from 1 species
GCGGGCGUAGUUCAGAGGUAGAACGUCAGCUUCCCAAGCUGAAUGUCGGGGGUUCGAUUCCCCCGCCCGCUCCA